rnacentral:lncRNA from 1 species
UUUUUUUUUUUUUUUUUAUGAUGGAAGCACAGAUAUUUGGCAGCAACUGCUUUUUUUCCUCAGGAAAUUUGAUUAUUUGUUAAUAAAACAGUUUACUUUGUAUGUUGUAACAGUCCAGUGAAAUAUACUAGUUUUGUUUCUAAUAUUGAUACAUGUUAAGUUACAAUUUUUAGGUACAAUAUUUUCAAGACUAUUUUUCAUAAUUUCUUAUUUUCUCCUUUGUGUAGAUGUUAAAACUGAAAGGCACUGGUAACACUGCCAGAACUAAUACUAUAACAAGUUGUCCCAACUCUCCAUACUGCCUUCAAUUUAUUGGGCUUUGCUGUCAUAGCUGACUUAGACUUUAUACUGUGUCAGACAAAGAAUAUAGUUUCAAAAGAUAAAGGAGGAUAGCAAUAUGCAGAUGUAGUUUUCUCUCUUCACCUUGCAGAAAUACAGGUAUACUGUUCACCAGAAGACAGUUUAUAUAAAGUGCUUAUGUUUAUAAAGUUGAAAAUAUUUCAAUGUCAAAAUCAAUCUAUUCCACAGAAGAAAAUGUUUUUAUAAAAAAAUGAAUAAGAAAAAUAAACUUAUGAGUUGCUGCUGGGGAAUUUGAAAAUCUUAAAUAUUGUUAUUUAGGUCAACUGUCAUUUAAAAUUGCUAAUAUCUUGUUGCUUUGCAACAAUGAAAUUGAUCCUGCUUCCUUCUCCAAAAGGCAUCUCACUUGGUAGGGAGUGUAAGUCCACCCAAGCAUUUCUCAUGUAGAGUCCAGAGCUUUUCAAGGCCAGAAGUUCUGAGAACCUUAGGUUGCUUCAAAUGGACCUUCAGCAGUUUUCUGUCCUAGUAUUACCAGAGCCACUAGGUUUUUGAGCAUUGGCACAGCCGACCACCAAGAGAUUGUCUGAGGUAUUAAUUGAAGCUACUUUCUUGUUUUUCUUUUCUUUUCUUUCUUUUUUUUUUUUUUUGGAUUCCUCAGGAUUUAUUUCUUAUUUCUCAAUAUAUUUUUUUUCCUACCUUAUAGCAUGGUGACCCAGUUACACAUACAUGUAUACAAUCUUUUUUCUCACAUUACCACGCUCCAUCAUUAGUGUUUUUCUCUCUUAAAUGCAACCUACAUACUCUGUAUCCACUCACUUCUCACCUACACAUAAUUUUUACAUUUAAAGGUGCAAUGAAAGGUGACUAUAUUUAAAAAACAAUAUUAAGUUGCAUGACUCCCAUAUUUAAAUAAUGUAACAUCACCACGGAAUACCAUGAAUUUAUAAAUAAUUGUAUAAUCUUAUUACUUUUUCAUAUUCAAGUAAGACAAACUAAAAAAAAAAAUCAGGUUUUUAUAUGGAAACAUCUGUGUCUUAUGCACAUAUAUGCAUAACUAGUCUUUCACUUUUAGGUACAUUAAUAUAUUCUUAAGAGAGAGCAUUAAUGUUGAUUUAAACUAACCCUACAAAUAGAGAUCACUGAGCAGUAAUAUCAGCUAGAUGCAAAAUAGUAAAAAAUGAUAAGUAUAAUAAAUAUAAAAAAUAACAAAAUGAUAAAACCAUUUUUAUCAUUAGGCUUAGGAUCCUAUGUAUUUUAAAAUACAGCCAUCAUUCUGGCAUCUGUAUUCUUAAAACAAAAGAGAAAUGUCUCUUCAGGUCCUUUGCCCAUUUUUCCAUUGGAUUGUUGGCUUUUUUGCUAUUGAGUUGUAUAACUUUUUUCUAUAUUUUAGAGAUUAAACCCUUGUCAGUUGAACCAUUUGAAACUAUUUUCUCCCAUUCUGUAAGUUGUCUUUUUGGUUUUUGUUUUUCCUUUUUUGUUUCCUUUGCUGUGCAAAACUUGUCAGUUUGAUUAGGUACCAUUGGUUCAUUUUUGCUUUUGUUUCUGUUGCUUUGGGAGACUGACCUCAGAAAAGAUUCAUAAAGUUGAUGUCAGAGAAUGUUUCACCUGUGUUUUCUUCCAGGAGUUUGAUUGUGUCUUGCCUUAUAUUUAAGUCUUUAAGCCAUUGUGAGUUUAUUUUCAUGCAUGGUGUGAGGGUGUGUUCUAGUUUCAUUGAUUUGCAUGUAGCUGUCCAGGUUUCCCAGUAAUACUUGCUGAAUUUAUCACUGAUUAUUAGAGAAAUGCAAAUCAAAACUCCCACAAGAUACCACUUCACACCAGUCGGAAUGGCCAUCAUUAAUAAGUCCACAAAUGACAAUUGCUGGAGGGGUGUGGAGAAAAGGGAACCCUCCCACACUGUUGGUGGGAAUGUAAACUGGUACAACCACUAUGGAAAACAGUAUGGAGAUACCUUAGAAAUCUAUACAUAGAACCACCCUAUGACCCAGCAAUCACACUCUUGGGCAUAUACCCGGACAAAAGUUUCCUUAAAAAACACCCAAGCACCCACAUGUUCAUUGCAGCACUAUUCACAAUAGCCAAGACAUGGUAACAACCCAAAUGUCCAUCAACAGAUGAAUGGAUUAAGGAGAAGUGGUAUAUAUAUAUGCAAUGGAAUACUACUCAGCCAUAAAAAAGAAAAAAUAAUGCCAUUUCCAGGAACAUGGAUGGAACUAGAGACUCUCAUACUGAGUGAAGUAAGUCAGAAAGAGAGAGGAAAAUACCAUAUGAUAUCCCUCAUAUCUGGAAUCUAAUAUAAGGCACAAAUGAACCUUUCCACAGAAAAGAAAAUCAUGGACUUGGAGAAUAGACUUGUGACUGCCAAGGGGGAGGGGGAGGAAGUGGGAUGGAUUAGGAGUUUGGGGUUAAUAGAUGCAAACAAUUGCCUUUGAAAUGGAUUUGCAAUGAGAUUCUGCUGUGUAGCAGUGGGAACUAUGUCUAGUCACCUACAAUGGAGCAUGAAAAUGGGAGAAAAUAGAAUGUAUACAUGUAUGUGUAAGUGGGUCAACAUGCUGUACAGUAGAAAUAAAAAUAAUGUAUUGGGGAAAUGAAAAAAUUAAAAAAAAGGAGAAAUGUUACAAGGAAAUACUGAAGAAUUAAUUGAAAUUUAAUUUUAAAAUAUGCAACAAUUUUUUUGACUUUAAUUUUUUUUUUUAGUUUUUUAUUACUCAAAUUAAUGUAUCACAUCUGUAGUUGUAUAAUGAUCAUAAAAAUCUGAUUUCACAGGAUUUCCAUCCCACAGCCCAGGCACAUCCCCCCACCCCCUAAAAUGUCUCCUCCAGAGACCAUAAGUUUUUCAAUGUCUGUGAGUCAGCAUCUGUUCUGCAAAGAAGUUCCGUCUGUCCUUUUUUCAGAUUCCGCAUGUCAGUGAAAGCAUUGGAUGUUGGUGUCUCAUUGUAUGGCUGACUUCACUUAGCAUGAUAGUUUCUAGGUCCAUCCAUGUUGCAAAAAAAUGCUGGUAUUUCGUUCUCUUUAACGGCUGAGUCAUAUUCCAUUGUGUAUAUGUACCACUUCUUCUGGAUCCACUCCUCUGUCGAUGGACAUUUAGGUUGUUUCCAUGUCUCAGCUAUUGUAAAUAGUGCUGCAAUGAACAUCGGAGUACAUGUGUCUUUGCGAGUCAUGGUUUUCUCUGGGUAGAUGCUCAGGAGUGGGAUUGCUGGAUCAAAUGGGAGUUCUAUGUGUAGUUUUCUGAGGACUCUCCAUACUGUUUUCCACAUGGUUGCACCCAUUUACAAUCCCAUCAACAGUGUAAUAGGGUUCCUUUUUCUCCAGACCCUCUCCAGCACUUAUUGUUUGUAGGCUUUUGGAUGAUGGCCAUUCUGGCUGGUGUAAGGUGGUACCUCAGAGUGGUUUUGAUUUGCAUUUCUCUAAUAAUGAGUGAUGUUGAAUAUCUUUUCAUGUGUUUUUUUGGCCAUCCGUAUGUCUUCUUUGGAGAAUCGUCUGUUUAGAUCUUCUGCCCAUUUUUUCAUGGGGUUGUUUGUUUUUUGGUAUUGAGUGGUAAGAGGUGUUUAUAAAUUUUGGAGAUUAAUCCCUUGUCAGUUGACUCAUUUGCGAAUAUUUUCUCCCAUUCUGUGGGUUGUCUUUACGUUUUGUUUAGGGUUUCCUUUUGCUGUGCAGAAACAUUUAAGUUUUAUUAAGUCCCAUUUUUGUUUUCACUGUCAUCCACCUCUAAGAGGUGGAUCUGAGAAGACGUUGCUGUCGUUUAUGUUGGAGAUUGUUUGGCCUAUGUUUUCCUCUAAGAGGUAUCUGAUCUUAUAUCUAGGUCUUUAAUCCAUUUGGAGUUUAUUUUUGUGUAUGGUGUUAGGGAGUGUUCUGAUUUCAUUCUUUUCCAUGUGGCUGUCCAGUUUUCCCAGCACCACUUAUUGAACAGGCUGUCUUUUCUCCAUUGUGUAUUCUUGCCUCCUUUGUCAUAGAUUAGUUGACUGUAGGCAUGUGGGUUUAAUUCUGGGCUUUCUAUCCUAUUCCAUUGAUCUAUAUGUCUGUCUUUGUGCCAGUACUGUACGGUUUUGAUGACUGUUGCCUUGUAGUAUAGUCUGAAGUCAGGGAGCCUGAUUCUUCCAGCUCCAUUUUUCUUUGUCAGGAUGUCUUUGGCUAUUCUGGGUCUUUUGUGCUUCCAAACAAACUUUAAAAUAUUUUGUUUGAGUUAGGUGAAAAAUGCCCUUGGUAAUUUGAUAGGGAUUGCAUUGAGUCUGUAGAUUGCCUUGGGUGGUAUUGUCAUUUUGAUAAUAUUAACUCUUCCAAUCCAAGAGCACGGUAUGUCUUUCCAUCUAUUUGUGUCAUCUUUGAUUUCUUUCAUCAGCGGCUUGUAGUUUUCAGAGUACAGGUCUUUUGUCUCUUUAG